AGGGAGCACAUGUUCAAUCCAAUUACAUCUAAGUUAAUGCUUCAUAGAACAGAGAACUUCCUGUAUUGAGUUAAGUUGUUCUUGUAAAAGAAGAAGCACUUCUGCUCCAUGUUGCCAUACUGAAAUUGUAUAUUGUUAUAUUGAUAGAUUGGGAAGACUUCAAGAAACAGCUCUGAAAAUGCUGCCAAAGGGCAAAUGAUACCUAAGAAGAAAUGUUUAAAAGAGUUUAGGUCAGACUAACUCCAUUCAAAGGAGAUGUUGGAUGUUGCUGUCUCAUGACAGCAGGACACAAAUAACAUGUUAUAAAUGGGAGGCAAAUUCAUCAUGAAUCUAUAUAUAUAAAAGGGUAAUAGAAUCACGGCACCGGACAAAACAACUAAACUACAUGGCCUACAACCUCGAAAAUUGACAGCACAACCUCUCAUCCACGCAUCUAUGUUCAUACAACAAAAAGAAAAGAAAAAUUAAGUCCUAACCACAGCAACACGUGGCCAGGCACAGCUAGUUUGUUAUAAAGAUCAAUUUCAACCUGUUCUUGUGGCGAUGGAUGGAAUCUCCUCGGGAUUGAGGGAGAGGGAAACUGAUUUCUGGAGAUGUGUUUGACAGGUAUUGUGUGCAUGAUCAUAUCAUGCAUGAAAAGAGACAAGACAGAAUAUCAUUACAGUAGAGUCUCACUUAUCCAACAUAAACGGGCCGGCAGAACAUUGGAUAAGCGAAUAUGUUGGAUAAUAAGGAGAGAUGAAGGAGAAGCCUAUUCAACAUCAAAUUAGGUUAUGAAUUUACAAAUUAAGCACCAAAACAUCAUGUUAUACAACAAAUUUGACAGAAAAAGUAUUUAAAUAUGCAGUAAUGCUACGUAGUAAUUACUGUAUUUAUGAAUUUAGCACCAAAAAAUCACAAUAUAUUGAAAACAUUGACUAAAAAAUGUGUUGGAUAACCCAGAACGUUGGAUAAGUGAAUGUUGGAUAAGUGAGACUCUACUGUGUAUGUGUGUGUAUAAAAUUCUAGUUCUGCCAGAAGAAUUUAGCCUUUGCUGUUGAUUUAAACUCAGGUGGCAUGUUGAGCCGAUGAAUCUUUUCUGGCAGGUCACUCCACAACUUAGGAGCAACAGAAAAAAAUGUCCUCUGGGUAAGAUCAGUCUUGUUUUGGCUGAAUGUAUGUGGUGGAUUAUAUGAGAGAAGAUAAUCUUGUAGGUAACCUGGAUCCAAAUCAUGUAGAGCUAUAAAGGUAAUAGCCAACACUAUGUAAUUCGCCCAGAAGCUAAUUGGCACCCAGUGGAGUGGUUUCAGUACAGGUGUAAUAUGGUCACUCCUAAAUGUACCAGUGACCAUUUUGGCUGAUAUGUUCUGAAACUGGCACAGAGGAAGCCCAAUGUACUUUAUGUGAGAUUACCACCAGUGUGCAUCUUUAAGUACUCCCUCCAGUUGUAGGAAAAAGCAAAGCCAAUGCUGAUUACAAGCACUUCUGCCUGGGUGGUCAUUCAGGCCCCAUCUAUACCACCAUAUAAUGCAGUUUAACUGCAUUGAACAGAGUUUACAUUAUAUGAGUUGGAGCCUCCGGUGGCCUAGGGGAUAAAAGCCUCAUGACUUGAAGGUUAACCUGAAGGCUGCAGGUUCGAAUCCCACCUGGGGAGAGCGCAGAUGAGCUCCCUCUAUCAGCUCCUGCUCCAUGCGGGGACAUGAGAGAAGCCUCUCACAAGGAUGGUAAAACAUCAAAACAUCCGGGCAUCCACUGGGCAACGUCCUUUGCAGACGGCAAUUCUCUCACUCCAGAAGCAACUCCGGUUGCUCCUGGACACGAAAAAAAAAAAUGUAUGAGUUCAAUGUAAUUAACUGCAUUAUAUGGCAGUGUAGAUGAGGCCUUAGAGCCGUGGCUCUCAACCUGGGAUCCCCAGUUGUUUUGGCCUACAACCUCCCAGAAAUGCUCAGCGAG
ensembl:lncRNA